AGUGAACGCUGGCGGUAGGCCUAACACAUGCAAGUCGAACGGCAGCACAGUAAGAGCUUGCUCUUACGGGUGGCGAGUGGCGGACGGGUGAGGGAUACAUCGGAAUCUACUUUUUCGUGGGGGAUAACGUAGGGAAACUUACGCUAAUACCGCAUACGACCUACGGGUGAAAGCAGGGGAUCUUCGGACCUUGCGCGAAUGAAUGGGCCGAUAUCGGAUUAGCUAGUUGGCGGGGUAAAGGCCCACCAAGGCGACGAUCCGUAGCUGGUCUGAGAGGAUGAUCAGCCACACUGGAACUGAGACACGGUCCAGACUCCUACGGGAGGCAGCAGUGGGGAAUAUUGGACAAUGGGCGCAAGCCUGAUCCAGCCAUACCGCGUGGGUGAAGAAGGCCUUCGGGUUGUAAAGCCCUUUUGUUGGGAAAGAAAAGCAGCAGGUUAAUACCCCGCUGUUCUGACGGUACCCAAAGAAUAAGCACCGGCUAACUUCGUG
rnacentral:rRNA from 1 species